AAAUAUUAUCCGUAUCCGGUAUUCGGAAAAAUAUUCGAAUACGGAUAAUAUCCGUUGCCGUUUAUUUUAUCCGAAUAGAUAAAUUAUUCGGAUAUCCGAAUAUCCAAAUUCGUUUAUCAGUAACCUAACAUAAAAUUCAUUCAAAAUAUUUACAAAAAAAAAAUUAAAGAGAAAUAAAUUAAUGGAUUAUCAAUUAAUUACAUUUGAACAUGCUAAUUGACGUUUUG
rnacentral:lncRNA from 1 species